rnacentral:rRNA from 1 species
UACGUAGGCAGCGAGCGUUGUUCGGAAUUACUGGGCGUAAAGAGUGUGUAGGCGGUGCUCUAAGUUCGGGGUGAAAUCUCCUGGCUUAACUGGGAGGGUGCGCCGGAAACUGGGGUGCUCGAGCGUGGGAGAGGAAAGCGGAAUUCCUGGUGUAGCGGUGAAAUGCGUAGAUAUCAGGAGGAACACCUGUGGUGUAGACAGCUUUCUGGACCAUUGCUGACGCUGAGACACGAAAGCGUGGGUAGCAAACAGG